GCAGUCCUGCCCCGUUUACAGUGGCUCCCAUGUCGUUGCACAGCGGUGCUGCGCCACACCGCUGACACGCCCGCCACCCCCUGACUGUCCCUUCUCCCCACCCCACCCUUCCCCAGCCUUGCUGCAUGAGACAAACACGUCACAGCUAUACCAGCCGAGCAGUGAGCACCCGGAACGUAUACAUAUAUUGCACGCCACUUGCUGCGGAGCGGACAGAGUUCUUACGAUCUUCCCACAGGGAUAGUCGCUUGUGACUGAAUCUCGUGGCCACUUCGAUAAAGCCAUGCUGCGCUGUCUGUGGGUGGUGGUCCUGCUAGCGGCGCUGUCGGUGACCUGCGCCAGCCCAUCCUGGUACUCUCGGCCCAGCGGCAUUGGGGAGUCACUGCGGAUCGCCCAGGACUUUCAUAACGCCAGACGGUGGCAGAGCAGGUACCGGCGCACGACCACGCCGCGCUGGGGCUGGAGGACGCCAACGCCCACCCAGGACACCCUGUCACAAUUCCGGGACGCCGUGGCCACCUGGAGGAACAACCAGCUGCGCAUGAUGGGCUGAGGGGGCGAAAUAGGAGAGCCGGUCUUGAGCCACCAGCCUCUCCCUGCCAAGUGCCAACGCAGGAUAUGAAAUAAAUCUUAGCUGAUGUGAUGCUAUUUUCCCUCUUAUUGGUACUGCUAUUAUCACCUUCAACUUGCAAUGUCAGCCCAUAGCAUGGGCGUUCGUCUCGCGGCGUUCCAACCGUCGGCUGUGCUGUUACUGGACUUACAUAAGAUUUAGGGUUUACGUACACUUGCUAUAUCAGCUUGUGUUACUUGUGAUAUGGAUGUAAGUAGAAGCCAGUGUCCGUUGCAUGGUUGACCGAAUAUAUUUUUUUAAUGACGCUUUAGUUACAUUUAACAGAGAGAUACGCAAGAUAAGCUUUUACGGGAAUCGCUGCCACGGUCAUAAAUGAAGAUAAAACGAUUGAAUUUCAUGAUGAGCACGACGCAAAAUAAAAUUCUGCAAUCUU